UUCAGUGAGGCGGUCACGAGGUGAGCAGCAGCCAAUCACGGCGCAGUAUUUCCCACAUCCGUCCUCUAUGUAUUUUGGACUUCAGCUCCCAAGAUCCCUAACACUUGGCCGAAACAACUGAGGCUUCUGGGAGUUGCAGUCCAAAAUCCCAGUAGAGUAAGGGAAUCACCGCAUUAGGGGAUUUAGGCUCCUAUUGCAGGCAUAGGUAACUUGGGCACUCUAGGUAUUUUGGGCUUGAACUUCCCUUAUUCCUAACAGCCUCAGGCCCUUUCCUUUUCUUCCUCAGCCGCUUAAGCCAUAGUCAGCCAUAGCAGAGCACUUGAUGAACCAACCUGGACACAGCCUAUUAUCUGAGAACACAGAAAUUCUGGACCACUCUCACAACCACCAUGUCAGACUACAGAGAGAAGCCAUAGAAAUCCACAAGCACGUGGACAAUUUCAACAGAAAGGAGGAAACCAUGAAAAUGAACAAAAUCUGGCUACCAGUAUUUAAAAAAACUCUAAAAUCACGACAGUAAGUAAAGAACAACACUCUGAAAACAGGGGAAUUCCAGACAGGAAACAAUUAGGGCCAGCUAAUACCUCCCAAGAAAGGAUUCUCCCAGGCAGGAAGCAGCCAGGCUUUGCCGCUGCAAGGCCAUUAAAUGCUAAUCAAGGUGAUCUAUUGCAACAUUCACACUUGCCCCAACCUGGACUUUCUACAGAUAUAUAAACCCCAUUUGCCUAGUUUCCAACAGACUUCACACCUCUUUGGAUGCCUGCCACAGAUGUGGGCAAAACAUCAGGAGAGAAUGCUUCUGGAACACGGUUGGCCAUACAGCCCAGAAAACUCAGCAACCCAGUGAUUCCGGCCAUGAAACCUUCGACAAUGCAUUCUAAUCUAAACUGUUCAGUAAGCCUAGGCAGAAACCUGUGCUCUAGGACUGUCAGAAACCUAGGCAGAAACCUGUGCUCUAGGCCUGGGUUGAAUCGCUUUAGUGACAUUGAGUAAAGGUUGUUCCUAUUGGCAGUCCGCUACCAAGCAUUGACACUUCUCUCUCAAAAUCCUGCUUCAUGAGCCUGGCAUGAUCACAGCCGGUCCAACAAUGAGGCAAAUUAAGCGGUCUCUUCGGGCACCAAACAUACUGGGGUGCAGUCAAGAUUGCUUUUUCUGUUGAUUUGUUGUAAAACAUGAUGGUUUGGUGCUUAAUUUGUAAAAUCUUUUCCUUAAUCCCUCCUUAUUAUCCAACAUUUUUGCUUAUCCAACGCUUUUAUUUUUCAGUGAUUUUUUUGGGGGGGGGGGGGGCGCCAAAAUUCUGUGCGCCUACACUUGAAAAAUACCUAGGGCCGGCUCUGGGCAUGAUAAAACUGGCAAGAAAAGACAAUGUGCGAUGAGGAAUGAGAAACGGAAGGAUGUUCUUUAUAAUGCUAUGGGACAUAACUCCACGGUAAUAUGACCCUUCCCCAGAUGACAUCAUCUCCCAUUUGUAAUUCUUGAUUUCCCACUUUUUUGUUUCUGCAAAAACAAAACUGUUCAGCAGAAAGAUGACAUGGGUGCAGAAUGCCUUUGGAUAUGUAGCACAACGAGCCUUUUGUCUGGAGUAAGGCUAUGAAUUGAAGAAGACUGUUAUGGAUAAAGGCAACAUAUAUAAUGCAUCAUCUCACAAUAGCCCUGGUUACGAUAAUGUUAAACACCUCCAAUUUGCCAGGCAGACACACUGCGGAAUGCAGAAUCUGACAAGUCAUCAGAGGCCACUAAUGCUUACAAGAAUUGAUGGUUCAAGAUGAUUUUGCAGUGGAUUUUGAACGUGGUUGCUGGAAAUGACUCUUCUUCAGAUUUUAGAAAAUUAUAAAAUGAAACUGAAAAGUGAAUGUAAAUAACCCUAACUCAACCCACUUUUUAAAAACGGGGUGAACUCAUUAAUUGUCCAGUCUCUCCCAGUUCAAGGCUGCUUUAACUUUUCUUGGCUAGACUUACAGGCAGAAUGCUGACAGAUAACAGAUAUAUCCCAACUUUCUUGGGCCACAAGAUCCAAGGCAACUUAUGCCAAAUUAAAGAGCUUGUGAAAACAACUGUUGGUUAUAUUUCAGGAAGUUCUGUCAAAUUUGUUGUAUAACAUGAUGUUUUGGUGCUUAAUUUGUAAAAUCAUAACCUAAUUUGAUGUUUAAUAGGCUUCUCCUUAAUCUCUCCUUGUUAUCCAACAUAUUUGCUUAUCCAACGUUCUGCCGGCCUGUUUAUGUUGGAUAAGUGAGACUCUACUGUGUGUGUAUUUUGUCUUUGGAAGAAUUCACUUAAAAAAUUAAAGCAACAAAAGCAAUACAUUCACACUGUGAUGCAAUAAAAAAUGCAGCAAAACAAAUUUGGAAAAGUCAAAGGGCAGUGAGUGAAUAUUUUUGUAUGGUACUGUAUAUAUUGCAGACUUGUAGAAUUGUAGUGCAGUAUUGCCAUUUCAUUUAAAAGUGCAGAAGACUGGGCAGAAUAAAACAUGUUUGUAAUAUAAGGUAGUUUUUGGAGCAAACCACCCCUUUUUAUCAUGGAAGCUUCUAUAUAUGUAGGAGUCCCUUAAGUAUUUAGAAGUGGCCCAGAGAUGCUUGAGCAUUGCAGAAGAUGAGUCAUCUAAUGCUGUGCUGAUGCAUAUCCUUACUACUUGGUCUGCAAAAUGACCUUCAGUGAUGAUAAUAAUUCUCUGUUUUGGUUGCACAUGUAGGCUCAAGCAUUGGACAGAGAAAAAGGCUUACCCUUCUUGUAUCCAGUAUCCUUUAGAACGAUUGCAAGAAAAGAUGUGUGAAGAGAAAUCUAUUUCCAGUUGUAGCAGUCUAAUGAGUCCUCUGAAGCCUAUGGAAAUCCUUGCCCAUACCAGAACCUGCAUAGGUUGGUCAGGAGCUUAGGAAUUCCAAGACCACAGAAUUUUGGCUUAAUCCCAGCCAUCCAAGGUAGGAAUUACUAUUAUGCUGACAAUAUCCAUUCAGCCUGGGCAGAGCCGGCCCUAGGUAUUUUUCAAGUGUAGGCGAACAGAAUUUUGGCGCCCUCCCCAAAAAACAAUCACUGAAAAAUAAAAGCGUUGGAUAAGCAAAAAUGUUGGAUAAUAAGGAGGGAUUAAGGAAAAGCCUAUUAAACAUCAAAUUACAUUAAGAUUUUACAAAUUAAGCACCAAAACAUCAUGUUUUACAACAAAUCAACAGAAAAAGCAGUUUUGACUGCGCCCCCGUAUGUUUGGCGCCCGAAGCGACCGCUUAAUUCGCCUCAUUGUUGGACCGGCUCUGAGCCUGGGUCAGGAAACUAGACCCAGGGUGCAUCUAUACUGUAGAAUUAAAGCAGUUUCACACCACUUUAACUGCCUUAGCUCAAUGCUAUGUAAUUAUGGGAAUUGUAGUUUCGUGGAGCACCAGAAUUCUUUGGCAGGAAAGGCUAAAGACCUUGUAAAACUACAACUCCUGUGGAAAAGUUACAACUCCCAGGACAAAGAUCAAAAGCUUAUAGCAAAGAUCUGAGGAACUAGGCAAGAGGCGAAGACAAUUUUAUCCUCAUAACCCUUAGCAAUUACAGUGCUUCCAGCUGAUAAGUUAGAGGGAUGAUAUCUCAAAACUCUCCAGCGAAUUGGAAGUUUCCCAUACAUAUGAGAAUGAAUUUUUAUAGGCCUGUCUGUAGCCUUGACCAAACCAAAACAAGUCAUUGCAGGUGCAAGCAAUAAUUAGGUCUGAAUCCUCAGGCUGUCACGGACUGCCAGAAAUACUCAGAAAAUCAAUUUUUGUGACAAACAUAACAAUCUAACAUGAAAAUCAAGCAGAAAACAGCCAAUAAGAUUUUUGUUCUUCUGUAUUUAUCCAAGAUGCAGUCUUGUCACAUUUUUUUCUUUCUCACUCUAUGUUCUAUUUAAUUUGCUGUAUACAAUUAUUAUUUAAAGCAUUUUAUUAUGCAUAUAAUACUUUUUUUCUUUUUUCUUAAAAUUUGAAUUGUUGAAUAUACAUAUUAGAGGUUUGUGUGCAGUGGAAUAUUUGAUAGCAGAAGCAUUUGCUGCUAACCUGAACUAAAAGUAAGCAAAAAAUAUUUUCAUCAGCAAAUGUUUUGCUUGAAAAACAGCUCGCUGUAUCAAGAAGGUUUAAUUCCUACACUGUGGUAUGCCAAAAAUGAGACUUCUUUGCUUGUGCCAAAGCAUUAAAAAACAAAGAGCACAGAAAAUGUUUCCUUAGCCUUAUUUAACUACCUUCUACUCUGAAAACAUUUCUAAGGUGGAGUGGCUUCCUUGGAUCUGGCUCAAGCUGUCCACAUAAGCUAGUGUUAUUUAUUAGUGAUAAGGUGCCAGAAAUAUGCCUGGCCACUCACAAAUAAAGGACCUUUAACAAAAAAAAAAAAGGUUGCACACCAAGAAGCAAGGUGAAAGAUAUGUCCGCAUCCAAGUAGAUGCUCUUACCAGAGUUCCAAUUAUAAAAUAGCUGUGUGGAACUGGAUGUACAUCUGAGAGUUCUUCUAUCCAGUAGCAUAUGGAAGAAUUUGAGAAAUUGCAAGCAACGAUGCAUAUGUUCCUGAAAACAAUGUACAAGACCACCGGGACUUUCACAUACGUUUUCAAUUUCUGUUAAGGAUGUGAUUAUCUUGUGGGCAUGUUUUACUCCUACUGCCUAUACUGGAGAUCAGUCAGUAUAGUGUACCCUUCAGCUUGGAAAGAUCAAGAUAAGUUCAGCUGUUCACUGAAGCUGGUAGGUUAACUACUGCUCAACUCAUGACUGUCUACUUAGCUUUAGAACUUCAGAUUGAGCAGAAUCUCCAUUGUCCAAAUCCUCUGAAAGUUGGCUUAAUGCAACUCCUUUGUUUUGCUGGGCUAAAGUGCAAACAAUAACAUAUUCUUAUUAAAAUAUUUUGAAUGUUUGCUUAUAUUUCCGUGGAUAGAGAAGUAUUCUAUGGCUUGGGUCCAGAUUAUCUGAAAGAUCUGCCUCUAUACACGAGUCUGCCUGAGUUUUAAGCAGGCUCAUGUAUAGAUAGGGUGGAAUUGACGGGAAAGUUUUUUCCAAUCCUAUCCUCAUCACAAUAGAAUAACCAGGAAGAAACGAUAACUUGUUUAUUUAGUGCUAUGUUUACUUUGAUUUACAUCAAAGUGAUGUUUCCAUAUUCCUGAAAGAGUUGUUUUUGAAAGAAACAAAUAAAUAAAAAGUAUGUUAACCUCA